UAUAACAAUGUAGGUAAGGGAAGUUGGCAAGUCAGAUCCGGAACUUUGGGAUGAGGAUUGGCUCUAAGGGCUGGGUUGGGGUGCAAAGGUCAGGAUGCGAAGUGGGGCUGGGCUCAAGCUGCAGCUGGGGGAGCAGUCGCCACCGUUGGAAGUUCGUUGUGCGGCCCAUCUCACGGUCUCUCGUGCGUGGUCUCGCAAUGAGCUGCGUGCCAGUGUUUGUCCAAGUCGUGUCUGGCGGGCCGGUGGAGGGUUGGGUCCGGCGGUUGGCGGCCGCAACUCUGGACGCGCACCAGGCCCUUCUUGCGGAUCUCCCCAGCUAUGGCGCUCGCCCGCCCUGUUUGCGCGGGGUCACUUUGGACGGCACCUACAGCUGACUUCGAACUGGUAGGAUCAGGGGAAUCCGACUGUUUAAUUAAAACAAAGCAUCGUGAAGCCCCAAUGUGGGUGUUGACGCGAUGUGAUUUCUGCCCAUUGCUUUGAAUGUCAAAGUGAAAAAAUUAAAUGAAGCGCGGGUAAACUGCAGGAGAAACUAUGACCUUAAGGAGUCCUUUGCCCAGGACAUUGGUGAUCCAUGCUUCGCGAAUUAGUGCAAAGUCGAAUACGGGCGACUGCUUGCAGGUGGCCCUAACAUAGCAACAAACUGGAGCAAAAGGUGCCUUCAGGUCGAACGAAACCCUGGUCCGGCUGAGAGUGACUACCUCGAAUAGGUUAAGACAGGGGAGGUAAGGAAAGACAGCAAAGUCAGAUCCAUAACUUUGGGAUAAAUAGUACCAUAGCCCUUGGAGGGCUCUUCCUACCCCUACUCUGUGUGUCACCUGUUUGAGGGAGUCUCUCCAACAGCUAGGAGGCAAACUGUUUCUAGUACACAGGGUGUAAGGGAGAUAACGAGGUAGCCCUCUAGCAGGACUCCGAUCCUUGUCAUCUGUUUUCAGGUGUCGCUAAUGAUGCAAUCCAAACGGGAGUUACCUGCAGAUGGUGACGGCUGUUGAUCAUUUACGGAUGGCAGCAGUCGAUCCUGGAAUAUGGUGCUUUCGGUCAAGCAUGAAAAUGUGUGUGCGGUUCCACCAGACUCAAUGAUUUGCUGCGGGGCUCUUGUAAAUGAAUCCUGACCUUGACAGGAAGGCAAUCUGAGAAUGAUGGCUUGAACACAUCCCUGGCUUUAGCUGGGAGGGGGGAGUUAAGUCCUGGGAGACAGCUGAUGAAAGUGUAGUACUGGCAUCAGUCUGAUCACAGAGCGGCUGUGGUGAAACGUUUAAACACGCGUCCCCGUAUACUUAGCUAACUCUAAACCACAAAGGUUUGAAUCAAAUGCUGGCUUUGGCUGGACCCGCUAACAGUGGAGCACUAAGUGGAGAUGGAAUGUGCUUAACGGUUAUGGAUACUGCCAGGUCUCAGGUCUGCCUGGAUGUGGGACUCUACACAUUCUAUGUGGGGGCUCUCCUCCACGCUCCUUGGAGCAUGUAGUGGAGAUGGCAUGUGCCUUACCAUUAGCUGACACUACCAGGCCUCAGGCUUGCCUUAGUGCGGGACACCACACAUUGUAGGUGGGGAGGUCUCCUCUAUGCUCACUGGACUCGAGGCGGAGACUUAACCCAUUGAACCCGCAGUGAUAGGGAAUUGCAUGGAUCUGGCUCAUGCCCUAUGAAGUGAAGAGAGGUAUCUCCAGCUUGUCUGGGGAGGGAGGCCUAUAUCUGAUGUGGGUAGUACCAUCCACACCUAUUGAUUUGCUGCGUACCUCAGAAAACGGACGGAAGAAGCCUAGGUUCCCACUGGGCACGGAUCACUGAAUGUCAACUUCAUGAAAUUCAAAGGAGCGUACCCAUCUGUAGUAAUCCUGCUCAGUACGAGAGGAACCGCAGGUUCAGACAUUUGGUGUAUGUGCUUGGCUGAGGAGCCAAUGGUGCGAAGCUACCACCUGUGGAAUAGCCCUAAACGUAACGAUACUGUAGCGCUGCGGAUCUUCAGUUGGCCCGGCAUAGCCUGCUUCUUUUGGCAGGUGACUAGAGCCGUUCAUGACGGGGUUGGGGUGCAGCCGGAUGAGUUGCCGCCCCUCCUGAUGCGCACCGCAUGUUUGUGGGGAACCUGGUGCUAAUUCACUCGUAGACGGGUGAAUGGGUCAAGGUUGAGGGUCAAGGUUUCGUACGUAAGAGCAGCUCUCACACUGCGAAUAAUUGAAAGUCAGCCGUCGAUCCAAGUUUU
rnacentral:ncRNA from 1 species